GUGCUAAUCUGCGAUAAGCGUCGGUAAGGUGAUAUGAACCGUUAUAACCGGCGAUUUCCGAAUGGGGAAACCCAGUGUGUUUCGACACACUAUCAUUAACUGAAUCCAUAGGUUAAUGAGGCGAACCGGGGGAACUGAAACAUCUAAGUACCCCGAGGAAAAGAAAUCAACCGAGAUUCCCCCAGUAGCGGCGAGCGAACGGGGAGCAGCCCAGAGCCUGAAUCAGUGUGUGUGUUAGUGGAAGCGUCUGGAAAGGCGCGCGAUACAGGGUGACAGCCCCGUACACAAAAAUGCACAUGCUGUGAGCUCGAUGAGUAGGGCGGGACACGUGGUAUCCUGUCUGAAUAUGGGGGGACCAUCCUCCAAGGCUAAAUACUCCUGACUGACCGAUAGUGAACCAGUACCGUGAGGGAAAGGCGAAAAGAACCCCGGCGAGGGGAGUGAAAAAGAACCUGAAACCGUGUACGUACAAGCAGUGGGAGCACGCUUAGGCGUGUGACUGCGUACCUUUUGUAUAAUGGGUCAGCGACUUAUAUUCUGUAGCAAGGUUAACCGAAUAGGGGAGCCGAAGGGAAACCGAGUCUUAACUGGGCGUUAAGUUGCAGGGUAUAGACCCGAAACCCGGUGAUCUAGCCAUGGGCAGGUUGAAGGUUGGGUAACACUAACUGGAGGACCGAACCGACUAAUGUUGAAAAAUUAGCGGAUGACUUGUGGCUGGGGGUGAAAGGCCAAUCAAACCGGGAGAUAGCUGGUUCUCCCCGAAAGCUAUUUAGGUAGCGCCUCGUGAAUUCAUCUCCGGGGGUAGAGCACUGUUUCGGCAAGGGGGUCAUCCCGACUUACCAACCCGAUGCAAACUGCGAAUACCGGAGAAUGUUAUCACGGGAGACACACGGCGGGUGCUAACGUCCGUCGUGAAGAGGGAAACAACCCAGACCGCCAGCUAAGGUCCCAAAGUCAUGGUUAAGUGGGAAACGAUGUGGGAAGGCCCAGACAGCCAGGAUGUUGGCUUAGAAGCAGCCAUCAUUUAAAGAAAGCGUAAUAGCUCACUGGUCGAGUCGGCCUGCGCGGAAGAUGUAACGGGGCUAAACCAUGCACCGAAGCUGCGGCAGCGACGCUGAUGCGUUGUUGGGUAGGGGAGCGUUCUGUAAGCCUGCGAAGGUGUGCUGUGAGGCAUGCUGGAGGUAUCAGAAGUGCGAAUGCUGACAUAAGUAACGAUAAAGCGGGUGAAAAGCCCGCUCGCCGGAAGACCAAGGGUUCCUGUCCAACGUUAAUCGGGGCAGGGUGAGUCGACCCCUAAGGCGAGGCCGAAAGGCGUAGUCGAUGGGAAACAGGUUAAUAUUCCUGUACUUGGUGUUACUGCGAAGGGGGGACGGAGAAGGCUAUGUUGGCCGGGCGACGGUUGUCCCGGUUUAAGCGUGUAGGCUGGUUUUCCAGGCAAAUCCGGAAAAUCAAGGCUGAGGCGUGAUGACGAGGCACUACGGUGCUGAAGCAACAAAUGCCCUGCUUCCAGGAAAAGCCUCUAAGCAUCAGGUAACAUCAAAUCGUACCCCAAACCGACACAGGUGGUCAGGUAGAGAAUACCAAGGCGCUUGAGAGAACUCGGGUGAAGGAACUAGGCAAAAUGGUGCCGUAACUUCGGGAGAAGGCACGCUGAUAUGUAGGUGAAGUCCCUUGCGGAUGGAGCUGAAAUCAGUCGAAGAUACCAGCUGGCUGCAACUGUUUAUUAAAAACACAGCACUGUGCAAACACGAAAGUGGACGUAUACGGUGUGACGCCUGCCCGGUGCCGGAAGGUUAAUUGAUGGGGUUAGCCGCAAGGCGAAGCUCUUGAUCGAAGCCCCGGUAAACGGCGGCCGUAACUAUAACGGUCCUAAGGUAGCGAAAUUCCUUGUCGGGUAAGUUCCGACCUGCACGAAUGGCGUAAUGAUGGCCAGGCUGUCUCCACCCGAGACUCAGUGAAAUUGAACUCGCUGUGAAGAUGCAGUGUACCCGCGGCAAGACGGAAAGACCCCGUGAACCUUUACUAUAGCUUGACACUGAACAUUGAGCCUUGAUG
rnacentral:rRNA from 1 species